AGUCGAACGAAGCGCUUAAAUGGAUUUCUUCGGAUUGAAGUUUUUGUGACUGAGUGGCGGACGGGUGAGUAACGCGUGGGUAACCUGCCUCAUACAGGGGGAUAACAGUUAGAAAUGACUGCUAAUACCGCAUAAGCGCACAGUGCUGCAUGGCACAGUGUGAAAAACUCCGGUGGUAUGAGAUGGACCCGCGUCUGAUUAGCUGGUUGGUGGGGUAACGGCCUACCAAGGCGACGAUCAGUAGCCGGCCUGAGAGGGUGAACGGCCACAUUGGGACUGAGACACGGCCCAAACUCCUACGGGAGGCAGCAGUGGGGAAUAUUGCACAAUGGGGGAAACCCUGAUGCAGCGACGCCGCGUGAGCGAAGAAGUAUUUCGGUAUGUAAAGCUCUAUCAGCGGGGAAGAAAAUGACGGUACCUGACUAAGAAGCACCGG
rnacentral:rRNA from 1 species